rnacentral:rRNA from 1 species
GGGGAAUCUUCCGCAAUGGGCGCAAGCCUGACGGAGCAACGCCGCGUGGGUGAAGAAGGCCUUCGGGUUGUAAAGCCCUGUCUUAUGGGAAGAAGUCAGUGACGGUACCAUAGGAGGAAGCCACGGCUAACUACGUGCCAGCAGCCGCGGUAAUACGUAGGUGGCGAGCGUUGUCCGGAAUUACUGGGCGUAAAGGGCGCGCAGGCGGGUUUUUAAGUCAGAUGUGUAAUCUACAGGCUCAACCUGUAGUUUGGAUCUGAUACUGGAAAUCUUGAGUGCAGGAGAGGACAGUGGAAUUCCUAGUGUAGCGGUGAAAUGCGUAGAUAUUAGGAGGAACACCAGUGGCGAAGGCGGCUGUCUGGCCUGCAACCGACGCUGAGGCGCGAAAGCGUGGGUAGCGAAC